rnacentral:rRNA from 1 species
CCCUUAGAUGUUCUGGGCAGCACGCGCGCUACAAUGGUCUUCGCAAACGGAUGCAUUCUCGAAUGAGAAUGCCAAUCUUGGAAUCUAUGCCUUGGUCGGGACAGUUGCUUGCAAUUUUUCGACUCGAACCAGGAAUUCCUUGUAAUCGUGAUUCAUCACAUCACGAUGAAUACGUCCCUGCCCUUUGUACACACCGCCCGUCGCUCCUACCGAUCGAAGAGUUAGGUGAAUUGUUUUGAUCGAUAAGAUUUGACUAUGGUCAACUCUCGUUGGGAAAUUCUGUGAAUCUGACUGUUUAGAGGAAGGAAAAGUCGUAACA